UUCUAGUAGCUUAGCCAAAGCAUUGUUCUUGUAAACCAAAGCCGGGUAACACCCCUAGAACA
rnacentral:tRNA from 1 species